GUUCCUGGAGGAAGGCUCAUACCUCCCAUGCAGACAGCACUCAGAACACUAUUGGCUGUCCCAGGGUGCACCCCUGAGUCAGACCUUCCUAGCGUUACCGAGAGGAAUUUGUGUGGUGGGUCCGGCUGCUCGUCGCUCAAGAGCCAAUAAACAGGCCAGUUUUCCGCAGGCAAAAGGCUGGCAGAGGACAUGGGGGACAGGGCAAAGACCAUACAGUCCUGCUCCGUUUCACUAGAACUGGAUCUGGAAUCUUGGAGGGCAGGGCCUAUUAUUCCUCUUUAUCUGAACAACACACGCACCAGUGCUCUGCACACUGAAAUCUCUGAGCUAGAAUAAACACAGAAU
ensembl:lncRNA